rnacentral:rRNA from 1 species
CACCAGACUCCUACGGGAGGCAGCAGUGGGGAAUAUUGGGCAAUGGAGGAAACUCUUACCCAGCAAUGCCGCGUGAAUGAAGAAGGUCUUCGGAUUGUAAAGUUCUUUAAUUGGGGACGAAAAAAAUGACGGUACCCAAGGAAUAAGCCCCGGCUAACUACGUGCCAGCAGCCGCGGUAAUACGUAGGGGGCAAGCGUUAUCCGGAUUUACUGGGUGUAAAGGGAGCGUAGACGGCGAAGAAAGUCUGAAGUGAAAGCCCGCGGCUCAACCGCGGAAUGGCUUUGGAAACUUUUUUGCUGGAGUACCGGAGAGGUAAGCGGAAUUCCUAGUGUAGCGGUGAAAUGCGUAGAUAUUAGGAGGAACACCAGUGGCGAAGGCGGCUUACUGGACGGUAACUGACGUUGAGGCUCGAAAGCGUGGGGAGCAAACAGGAUUAGAUACCCGCGUACU